AAACUUCUAUAUAAAUAUGUGGCAAGAAAGAAGUGCAAAGCCGUGCAGAAGCAAGGAGGGUUGUAAGGUAAUUAUCUUUGGGAUUAGCAUUAAUUGAAGAUCAUGGCAACCCCAGCUCAAAUUCCACCUUAUCAAUUUACAUAUAUAUGGUCGAAUGCUUGGAACAUCCAGCCUGAUGGGUCAAAAUAUUAUUCUGGGGGA